rnacentral:rRNA from 1 species
CCUACGGGCGGCUGCAGUGGGGAAUAUUGGACAAUGGGGGGAAUCCUGAUCCAGCCAUGCCGCGUGUGUGAAGAAGGCCCUCGGGUUGUAAAGCACUUUCAGUGAGGAAGAACGCCUGGUGGUUAAUACCCAUCAGGAAAGACAUCACUCACAGAAGAAGCACCGGCUAACUCCGUGCCAGCAGCCGCGGUAAUACGGAGGGUGCGAGCGUUAAUCGGAAUUACUGGGCGUAAAGCGCGCGUAGGUGGCUUGAUAAGCCGGUUGUGAAAGCCCCGGGCUCAACCUGGGAACGGCAUCCGGAACUGUCAAGCUAGAGUGCAGGAGAGGAAGGUAGAAUUCCCGGUGUAGCGGUGAAAUGCGUAGAGAUCGGGAGGAAUACCAGUGGCGAAGGCGGCCUUCUGGACUGACACUGACACUGAGGUGCGAAAGCGUGGGUAGCAAACAGGAUUAGAUACCCGAGUAGUC